rnacentral:rRNA from 1 species
CAGUAGCCACGGUAAUACGGAGGGUGCAAGCGUUAAUCGGAAUUACUGGGCGUAAAGCGCACGCAGGCGGUCUGUCAAGUCAGAUGUGAAAUCCCCGGGCUUAACCUGGGAACUGCAUUUGAAACUGGCAGGCUAGAGUCUUGUAGAGGGGGGUAGAAUUCCAGGUGUAGCGGUGAAAUGCGUAGAGAUCUGGAGGAAUACCGGUGGCGAAGGCGGCCCCCUGGACAAAGACUGACGCUCAGGUGCGAAAGCGUGGGGAGCAAACAGGAUUAGAUACCCCUGUAGUCCCUGUCUCUUAUAA